UCCCCCUCACCACUUCUUCCACCACCGGCCGUCGCCGCGGCCAUGCCGGCGUGGCGGCGCGCCAGCAGCUCCACCACGCGCAGCACCACCGCGCCAUAGCACCACCCAUAAUCUCCAUCCAUCUGCGCCUCCCAGCCACCCAUCAUUCCCUCCAUCCACAGCGCCGCCAGAACCCAUCCACCAUCACCUCCAGCCGGUGCCGCCGCCUCGCCUACAGCCAUCUCCCUGCUGUCCGCUGCUCUCCUCUUCUUUCCAUCCUUCUUCUCCUCACCAUGCUGCUGCUCCUCCCUCUCAAUCUCUACUGCUGCUCUUCCUUGCGCCCCCGUGCUGCUGCCUCUCCUUCCCUUCGUUGCUGCUGCUUCUCCUUUGAUCCCUUUGCUACUGCUCCUCUUCUUCGUGCCCAACCUCCGCUGCUGCUCCUCUUUCCUGCUGCAUCCCUGCUGCUGCUACUCCCUCUCACCACGCCUCUGCUGCUCUCUUUCCCCUCCUGCUGCUGCUCUCCUCACCAUGCUGCUUCUCCUUUCUGCUUCUCCUCUUGCUGCUGCUGCCCGCCCCCGACCUCCUGCUGCUAUCUCUCUCUACUUCCCCUGCUACCUUUCUUCUCUGAACCUACCUACUGCUUCUCUCUCUCUCUCUGAAAUUGUUGUAGUACUAAGAUUUGUAAGACAGUGUACUACAACCUGUUAAUUGUUCAGUUCAGAUUUUUGCUUGUUUAGUAUUAUUCUGUUGAUCUGUCCUAAUCUUGUGGCUAGUAUAAUUUCGUUUCUGUUGUUACUUGUGUAACCUGAACCGAGGUUAGUAUCCUAUUUGCAUAUGUGUGUUUUGUGUGUUCUGUAGUCCCUGUAUUAGUUACGUACCUGUGAUAUAUAAAUGUGUGUGUGCGUGUGUGUGUGUGUGUGUGUGUGUAAUUCAUCAAAAUAUAUUGUUGUGUGAUGAUGAUAUAUGUUCAGUCUAGAGACACGUUGUUUUUCUUGCUUUGUAGAUCGAUGUGAACUAGUACUCUUGUGUGUUUCUGUUGUCACUAGUUAAAUUGAUCACCUAUGUACUACUUGUUGUAGAAACUUGUUACAUUAGUCCUUGUGCUAGCUAUGCACCUGUGAUAAAUAUGUGUGUGAUGUGAAACAUUUCUGUUCUGUCCUAUAAUAUUGUUUCCUCCCUCUUUUGCUUGUCAUUAUGCUAUAUGUGUUCAUGUCCUAAUGUUUCCCUUUAUGUUAGUUUCUAAUUUCUCAUGCCUAAUAAAAAUACCAAAAGAGAGCAAGUAAGAUCUGAUCCUCCCUUUGCUAUUUUGCCUUUUCUUUGUGGAUCAUCUUCGGGAGCAACCUUGUUUAGUUUAGGUUUAUUUUCUUGCAGCCAUAAUCUCAAUUGUGUUACCUAGAUUUAGCUGAGCAUAGUCGCCGUCGCCUAGUCCCUGAGGGGAACACGACACUCGCGAUUUGGGCGAAAUAUCCCACCGCAUUUACAAACGAUCAUUUUGGCGCCGUUGCCGGGGACUAGCAUCGAGUGACAGUGUUAGGCUAUAGACUAGGUUUUUCUUGUUUUCAUUUUGUGCCAUAUAUUUGUGAUAUAUCUCUAGCCACUAACCCCUGUUCUAGGUAGUAUCUUUUUGUCUUCUUUUCCUUUUUUGCAGGUUGGAUUAUCCUCUCGGAAAUGGCAUUCUAUUCGGAUCAUCAGGCUUAUGCGAGCAACACUACAAACAACAUGAAAAGAAUUCAAGAACUGAUAAGUAAGAUUUCCCAUCGAUUAGAUGAUUUAGCUCGGCAGCGAGAAGUAGUUUUUGUGGAUAGUCCUAGCUCUUAUGAUCCUUAUUCUGGAGGCCAUCCUUAUGUUGCUCCUACUUGCCAUAUUUGUGGAUUUCAGGGCCAUUCGCUCGCUGAAUGUCAGCGUGGUUACUCUCGCCCUCCAGAUUGUUUUGGCAUGAGCUUUGCUCAAGAGCAUAGCUCAUACCAAAACAAUUACUCACAUGGGUGGCCUGAGAACCCGAAUAUGUCAUUUAGGAGCAACAACCCUGAGAUCUUAUCAUUUGCCUCUAGUAAUCCAAUGCAGGGAUUUAGGUAUGAAGAGGAGAGCCACAACUAUGCUCCACAACAGUUUUAUUCACCUCCUACUCAUAUACCGCAGCACCAGGAGAUGUGUCCAAUGGAGUUAAAUGGUCCUCCGUUUGGUCAACCAACAACUUCAGCACCUAAUGAGUCGGUAGAGCAAUCUCAUGUGCAGGGAUUUAGGUAUGAAGAGGAGAGCCACAACUAUGCUCCACAACAGUUUUAUUCACCUCCUACUCAUAUACCGCAGCACCAGGAGAUGUGUCCAAUGGAGUUAAAUGGUCCUCCAUUUGGUCAACCAACAACUUCAGCACCUAAUGAGUCGGUAGAGCAAUCUCAUGUGCAAGUGCCCACACAAGAUGAGUUCGAUGACAUAGACAAACUCACACUUUUGAGUCUCGAGUUCACUUGGAGUGCCGAGGAUGAUCCUAUUAGGAAGGUUAUACUAGAGGAAAUGAAGAGGAUCAAGAGUGGAAAAGAGCUAGUGGAAGAAGUAAGGAAGAUUGAGAAGAGCAUCAAUGCUGGCAGCACUAUUUCUUCACAACUAGAGCUGAGUAUUUCUGGGAUAUCCUUUGAUACAUGUGAGGCUCCAACACCGUCACAUCCAGCUGAGCAAGAUAGAAAAAGUCCAGAGGAAGAGAGACCUUAGAUUGAAGUUGAACUCAAGGAACAAGAUGAUCAAGAGCUACAAUUUCCAAGUGAUCAAGUUGAAGACUCAUCAUCUACUACUCCUAAAGAAGUACAAGAAGCUGUUGUAGAUGAAGAUGAAGAACCUGAGAUUCAUUGGCCUAUUGUCAUACAUGAACCUGAUAUGUCAGGUUUACCCAAUCCUCUUGAUGACAUGCUGCCUUGUGAUUUCUUUGCUUCUAACUUGCAUUGCAUGAUGCCAUCACUUAAGGUAGAUUUGAAAAACUAUUUGCUUGGACAUGAUCAUACACACCCUGUUAGUGGCAUUGCUCAUAUCUCUGUUCAUGAUACUUAUGUUCCUGAUGCUAUACACAUGCUUAAUGAAACGUGUGAUUCUAAUACUAGCAUUGAGCUUACUGAAUUGUACCAUCCUAAACAUGUGCUUUAUAGCUAUGCUUAUGUAAUUGGGUACUCUAUUGAUGAUUUAGAGGGCAUUACCCUUGUCACUUGUAUCGCCUCCUUGGUUGAGUGCUCUUUCAGCUUGUUGCUUGUGCACGAUCCACUACAUGCUGGCCAAGUUCGAGAUGACAUUCCUUGGGACCCCGGUGGACCCAUGGCAUGGGGAUGAGGAGAAGCAAGGAGCACACAUGAAGAGAGAAGCUGUGCCGGCAUGAGGAUAGGGAAGCAAAAGGAGAGGAGUCACAAUGCAAGAGGAUGUGAGAUGAUCGAGCGAGUGCUACAUCAAAGCCCGGUGAGCUGUUUCAUGACCCAUUCCGAGUAUAUCAUCCAUUGAUGCUUGCUGAAUUAAAUUGCUAUUUGGGUUGCUUGUGCCAUUUCUUAAAUGUUGUCCCACAGAUUUUUCACCUUUGACAUAUGGUGCUUGAUGAGAAUAUGUGAACUGAUUGUUGAAUGCCUUGUAAACUAGUGAUCUACAUCCUGUUUGCUUUGCUGAAAGUAGUGAAAGCUAUUAGUUUUGAGUGCUCAAAUCCCUAGUGCACUAGUAAACUUAAUCAUUUUCUGCUUUUACCUUGAUACACCUAAAUCAUUAAGUGUCGGAUGCUGAGUUUGUGCCUAAUGUGUUCCCAUUGAGAGCAAUCACUUACCAUUAUGGAUUAGCAUGCUAUGUUCUCUGGAUCAGUAGCAUGUGAAGUAGACAUGGAUGAGUGAUGAUUCUUGAUUUUGUUCAUUUAAAAAAUGAAAAAUAUAUAUCUUAUAAUGAAUAAAUAAGUCUGACUACCUACAGUAGCAUGUCAUGUUCCCUAGAUCGGUGGCAUGUGGAAUCGGGUUAGCUUGGGCAGUAAUUAAUAAUAAAAAUGUAAUUGUCGAACCAGGUGUAUACCAUAUUCUUGGGAUCGGUGGUAUGUUCCUUUGGGGAGACAAACAAAAAAAACUAAUAAUUGGUCGAGCCGGGUGUAUACCAUGUUCUCGGGAUCGGUGGUAUGUUCCUUUGGUGAGAUCAAUAAAAUAUUAUCAUUACUUUCUUCAAAUUCAAUAAGUGCUUUCAACUGCAAUGUUGUGUUCCUGGUAAUAAGUGAUCUGAUCUCAAGUUUAAGUUUUUUUUGUUUUUGGGAUCAGGCUCUCUUUAGGAACCUUUUGGCACAAUCAGCAUUUGAACUUACUAAUCUUCUUUUAUCAUUGUAAAAGUUUAAAAUGGCCAAGUCUACUAGUAUCCUACUGCUUUGUAGCACUCUAACCAUUAAUUUUCACUAACUAAGUCUGAAGCAUGCACUGUUUAGAGAUCUACUUCACUGGGACAUUCUCCAGUCAGCUCACUGUUCAUUAUCUAGCUCUUGUCAUAUUCCUUUACUUGAGGACAAGCAAAAGUUUAAGUGUGGGGGAACUUGAUAAGCACAUUUCUUAUAUAGAAUUUUGGAACACAAAUUCAUCAUUUAUUGAGAUAUAUUGUCGGUGACGGUUGCAGGGGCGCGGGGUUGCGAGAAGAGCAGGGCUAGUAGACAGCACAAAGAUCGUUUAUCCAGGUUCGGGCCGCGAGGAUGCGUAAAACCCUAGUCCUGGUUUGGUGGGUGUAUUUCAGAGAGUUCUUGAGCUCUCGGACUAGAUGUGGUCAGUGCAUGGUUCAAAAGAGCCGAAUCCUUCUCCAGUAUGUCAUGGGCCUCCUUUUAUAGUCGGAAGGGGCUGCCACAGUGGCACACAGGAGGUGGAAAGGCGUACAGUGCCCUGAGCUUAUCGCUCGUAUUACAGGUGAUAGAGGCGAGGGUGUCCCGAUCUUUCGAUGAGAUGAUAACUAUCGAUUAGGUGGAGUCGACUUUGACGAUCCGACUACAAACGUGCACGACGUUGCGCCUUAGCAAUCGCUAAACCAACUUCGAGAGGUUAUUGACCUCGCCGGAGCACGAUCAACCUGACCACGAAGGUCUAUUCCUGCAUGCAAUCAAAGAACAAGCAAGAAUAUGAUAAUGCAAUCUGAAUAUUGCGAAUAUAGAUGAAGUAUUGAUAAAGAUAGGGAUCCAUAAGCGGUCUUGGUCUGGUCGUUGGACACAAACGAAGUACACGAAGUUGCAAUGGCUAACUUUUAACUAAACAAAUCCCAAGCAAAAAGCUACUAGAUGGAUCUACUUAUAUAGGAGCAAGGGGUGGAGGCCAAAAAGGUGGGAGGACGUCCCAAGGCAGCCUAAAACCAACCCUAGGUCGUACAAGGCUCAUGGGCCCAAGUGGAGGUGAUGCAACACCUUUGGACUUGUUUUUGACUCGGAUUUUGCUGCAGCGUCAGAUUGUUUCGUCCAUAUCUCAAUGCUCCGGACGAAUUUAAAGGUGAAUCCAAUUGGGUUGGAAAGAGGACGAAAUUUACUUUCCAACAAAAAAAGAAUCACCCAAUUCGGAGUCCGUAUGAAAAAGUUGUUGGCGUUUUGAGUCAGGUAUGUCUGUGCAGUCCGAAUCUGAAUCCAGAACGUGAGAGACUUGGACUCUAUCUUCUCUUGGCCCAAAAGUGACGUGAGAGGACUUUUUGAAUAGAACCUAAACUUCUCCUUUUCCCCUAUCUUCAUAUGUGGAUUGUAUAAAUGUCCCAUACACCUGCAAUUAGACAAAACACAAAAGUGUGUGAAGUAUUUUUGUUCUGGAUAACAUAAAUAGAUUAUUGAAUAAUUUGCACUAGAAAUCACCUGACAAAUAUGCAUGUAUGCAAUAUUUUUGGUCGUAUCCAAGGUAGUCAUGUCCUCAUCAUCCUCCCCUUCUUGAAAAUAAAGCCGUCCUCGGCGUUGCUUAAUCUGAAAUGUGGCUAACAAAAGAGACAAGGUGUACAUGUUGUAUAUGUAUAUGUCAUCCAUUUUUACUUCCCGUGGAUUUUGCACAUAUGACACAUGUAUACAUGAGUAACUUUCAUAGUUAAUAAAAUAUAAAGCCAAAAUAUUAUUACAAGUAGAAGGCAUGAAAGUAUUGCAACUCAGUUUGCACAUAUAAGUGAAGCUCUUAUUCAUAUGAAAAGAUUGACAAUAUUCAUCAUUAAACCAUCCCAACAUUGGUGAAUAAACCUUACUUGCAUUAAAUUUACAUGCUACAACAUGCUUAAAUAAGCAAACAUGCAAUAAGUCAUUUGACACAGAAUCAUCACCAAGAUUAGAGGUCAUAUCAAAAUGAUUAAACAUUGGUUCUUUUGCAUCAACAAUUAAUUCAUUGGGUCCACUCAAAAUUGUUGGUAUUUCAGAUGUUUGAUCACAUGACGCAUUCAUGACAGUAACAUGAUUCUCUAGAUUAGGUGAUGCGCUCAAAUCAAUAGGUAACUCAACACAUGAUGUAUUCAAGUUAACUAGGCAUGCAUCAUUCUCAUGUGAAGUUAUAUCAUCAAUACCUUUACAGUUACCUUGUCGUAAAGAUGUAGCUGAUGUAGGUACGGAUGAUGGCAAUGUACCAUACUCUUGAGAUGAUGUCGCGCUCACAAUCUGAGGUGUGGCUGCUCUAGUAGGUGCGACGGUGGAGGAGCCAAGCGGUGGUGGUGAGCAUGAACUAGAAUAGUAGUUGUUGUAGUCAUCCAAUGCAUCCUCCUGUAACUGUCUCUCAAAGGUACAAGCACGAACAUACAUACCAGAUACUGAAAUCGUGCCUGAAUAUCAUGGUUCAAACCACCAAAAAAUCUAUUCAUUGUAUCAUCCUCAGAUUCUUCUAUGUCACAAUGAUGCAUAUAAGAUUUGAACUCUUGGUAGUAAGCAUGAACAGUGUCGUUGCCUUGUUUAAAUUGUUCAAAUUUGCAAAGCAAUUCACGACGAUAGUAAGGAGGGAAAAAUUAUUGUCUCAUUACCUCUUUCAAAUCUUUCCAAGUUGUGAGUUGGUUAUCAAUGUUUUUCUUACAAUGCACACUCCACCAAACAGAAGCAAAACCAGUAAAUGCUCUAGUGGCAGCUCGUACUCGCUCAAGUUCAGAAAAGUCAUGGUGACUAAAAACUUGUUCUACUUCAACCUCCCAAGCUAGAUAAAUAGCAGGAUUAAAUCUACCCUCAAAUGACGGUAAAGAGAUAACCUGACCAUGUACUUGUGUGUGUUGUCCCAACUCUUGUGAUGGUGAUGAUGUGUCCGUCGUCCAAGAACUUCUAUCUCCGGAACCUGUCAUGAUUAGUAGAAACAAGAAACAAAAUUCGAGAAUAAUGUUCUGAUGAACUACUAGGAUGUGGUUGCAAAGUGCUCACAGUAAAGAAAAUAUCAAUAUCUUGCUCGUUCUUCGAUUGCUUGCAGGAAUAUACCUUCGUGGUCAGGUUGAUCGUGCUCCGGCGAGGUCAAUAACCUCUCGAAGUUGGUUUAGCGAUUGCUAAGGUGCAACGUCGUGCACGUUUGUAGUCGGAUCGUCAAAGUCGACUCCACCAAAUCGAUAGUUAUCAUCUAAUCGAAAGAUCAGGGCACCCUCGCCUCUAUCAAGUGGUAUCAGUUUUCAGGUUGCUCGGUGAGAAUUUCCAGUUUCCCCUAGAUUAGAUUUAUUUUCUUAUCUAUUGUCCAAGAAAAAGCCACAAAAAAGUUAGAUCUAUUCAUCCUUUUGUCCAAGCCAGUCUGAGCCUUUGCAAUUUUCUUUUCAUUGUUUGCAUUAUUGAAUUAUCGGUUGCAUCGUCGUGUCGAAUUGCUGGUCUUAGGGUCUAGUUCGUUUAGAGUUUCGAGUUCUGUUCACAUUAGUCACGUCGCCGCUGCAUCGUUAUCCCUUCCGCUGUCCACCACACCAUCCAUCAAUUUCCACCACGUGCUACCCAUAGUUCAUUGUCACAAUCAUAGUUGAUGUCGUUCACAUCUUCGCUUGAUCCAAUCUGCAUCUUAUCUAGUUUGUCUUAGAGGGAGAGAAAAAAAGACAGAGAAAAAAAGAGAGAAAAAAAGAAAAAGAAGUCGGAGAAAAAAAAGAGAGAAAGAAAAAGAAAAAAAAAGUGUGAGGAAAAAAAGAGAGAAAAAACAACAAAAUUGUGUGAAGUAUCCAAUAUGCAUGCAUGCAAUAUUUUUGGUAGUAUCCAAGGUAGUCAUGACCUCAUCAACAGGACAAGACACAUUUAAUGCGUAGCUUAGGUGUCCCCUUGCUUUAUUGGGGACGGGGGCGAGGCUCGUCCCGUCCGUCGCCGCUCCUCCAUGCUUUGACACGUGCCCUGGCCAGUGAGGCACAUGGUGCCAUGUAGGCAGGCAGGCAGCUGAGGUGGCGCAGUGCCGGAGCCUUCACGAAGAUCUGCAUGCCGCCACGCAGGCGCUCGAUGAGUUGGCCUGGGAGCUGCAUGUUGUCACGCAGGUGCCCGCCCAGCUGGUUGGGCUGGCAGCUGCAUGUGAACGGCGGUGGAAGCUUGGUUGGCGUGGGCCUGGCGGUGGCCCUGCUGGCGUCCGUGGUGAGGGCCUUGCCGUGUGGCCCGGCAAGGGUCUUGCCGUGGCGCGCUAUCGUCCCCAGCGAGGGCCUUGCCGAGGGUCUGGUGGCCUUCCUCGGCAAGGAUCUUGCCGAGGAUCGUCGUCUUCUAAUUCUCAUCUGAUCUUGAAUAUGUCUUCACAAAGAUCUGCAUGCCACUACGGAGGUGCCUCCCGAGCCCUGGCCCAACGUGAUGUUGGAGAUCGUGGGCUCAAGGGUGGCCCGCUCUGUUGGUGCAGGGCGAGCUGUUCCGGCAAGGAUCUUGUCGGGGCUGCUGAGGCUGCCCCGGCAAGGGUCUUGCCGGGGGAACCUGCUUCAUCCCUCUGCUCUUUGUGGUCUUGGCCUUGACGUUGCUCUUAUUAUCUUGGGCUUUGGUCUUACCUUGGCUCACCUCCCCUGUUCUGCUUGGCGUGACCGUAGGCGCGGCUCCGACUGCCCGUGCACAGAUAUAGGGGUACAAAAACGCACCCCUUUUUUUGGACACCGACAGAAGCCCCCGGGCCUGGGCCACACAUAAGCGCGAUACGUUGUUGGGCCAGGCCCAAAACGUGCGCGGGCAGGCGGGGCGGUUUUUACCGCGGUAAAACUUUUCGCGCGUUGCGCUUCCAACGGCCCGCGCGGCGUGGAGGGGUGUGCGUGACGUGGGCGCCAUGCGUGGGACGGUUUCCACACGCAUGCGUCACAUCGCAGUAAAAAGGCGGCUCGCGCCUUCCCCGUAAAAAGAGGGAGGCGUGGAGGCGUGCUACCUCUUGAGCACUGCGUUGCUUUUCCCUUGAAGAGGAAAGGGUGAUGCAGCAAAGUAGCGUAAGUAUUUCCCUCAGUUUUUGAGAACUAAGGUAUCAAUACAGUAGGAGGCUACGCGCGAGUCCCUCGCACCUGCACAAUACAAAUAAAUCCUCGCAACCAACGCGACAAGGGGUUGUCAAUCCCUUCACGGUCACUUACGAGAGUGAGAUCUGAUAGAUAUGAUAGGGUAAUAUUUUUGGUAUUUUUAUGAUAAAGAUGCAAAGUAAAAUAAAAGCAAAGGCAAUAACAAAGUGUUGGAAGAUUAAUAUGAUGAAGAUAGACCCGGGGGUCAUAGGUUUCACUAGUGGCUUCUUUCAAAAGCAUAAGUAUUUUACGGUGGGUGAACGAAUUACUGUUGAGCAAUUGACAGAAUUGAGCAUAGUUAUGAGAAUAUCUAAGUAUGAUCAUGUAUAUAGGCAUCACGUCCGAGACAAGUAGACCGACUCCUGCCUGCAUCUACUACUAUUACUCCACUCAUCGACCGCUAUCCAGCAUGCAUCUAGAGUAUUAAGUUCAUAAGAACAGAGUAACGCCUUAAGCAAGAUGACAUGAUGUAGAGGGAUAAAUUCAUGCAAUAUGAUAAAAACCCCAUCUUGUUAUCCUCGAUGGCAACAAUACAAUACGUGCCUUGCUGCCCCUACUGUCACUGGGAAAGGACACCGCAAGAUUGAACCCAAAGCUAAGCACUUCUCCCAUUGCAAGAAAGAUCAAUCUAGUAGGCCAAACCAAACUGAUAAUUCGAAGAGACUUGCAAAGAUAACCAAUCAUACAUAAAAGAAUUCAGAGAAGAUUCAAAUAUUGUUCAUAGAUAAUCUUGAUCAUAAACCCACAAUUCAUCGGUCUCAACAAACACACCACAAAAAGAAGAUUACAUCGAAUAGAUCUCCACGAGAGAGGGGGAGAACAUUGUAUUGAGAUCCAAAAAGAGAAAAGAAGCCAUCUAGCUACUAACUAUGGACCCAAAGGUCUGAGGUAAACUAUUCACACUUCAUCGGAGAGGCUAUGGUGUUGAUGUAGAAGCCCUCCGUGAUGGAUGCCCCCUCCGGCGGAGCUCCGGAACAGGCCCCAAGAUGGGAUCUCAUGGGUACAGAAGGUUGCGGUGGUGGAAUUAGGUUUUUGGCUCCGUAUCUGAUCGUUUGGGGUACGUAGGUAUAUAUAGGAGGAAGAAGUACGUCGGUGGAGCAACGUGGGGCCCACGAAGGUGGAGGGCGCGCCCUGGGGUGGGGGGGUGGGCGCGCCCCCUACCUCGUGGCCUCCUGGAAGCUUCUCUGACGUAAGGUCCAAGUCUCCUGGAUCAUGUUCGUUCCAAAAAUCACGCUCCCGAAGGUUUCAUUCCGUUUGGACUCCGUUUGAUAUUUUUUUCCCGCGAAACUAUGAAAUAGGCAAAAAAAAAUAGCAAUUCUGGGCUGGGCCUCCGGUUAAUAGGUUAGUCCCAAAAAUAAUAUAAAAAUGGAUGAUAAAGCCCAAUAUUGUCCAAAACAGUAGAUAAUAUAGCAUGGAGCAAUCAAAAAUUAUAGAUACGUUGGAGACGUAUCAAGGCGCGACUCAUUUAUUGAACGGGGCCAGGGCGCGGUCUUCAAGGCAUCCACUCCCCACGAUCACGGGGUGGGGAGAGGUUGCUUCGCCCGUCCCCUCGGUUCUGCAUGUAUGCCACGCGUCCUCCAUGCACCUAGGGUGGCAAGCGGUGGAGGCGGGAAACCGGGCCGUCGCUGGUUGGGGCAGCGGGUCGGUCCUGAUUCCCCGUGGCUUUGGUGGCUGGAUUGGCCGAGUGAGGCGGCCGAGCCCCGUCCCCGCCUCCUUAUAAAGAGGGGGAAGGGGGGAUGGCAUCCCACACUCUUCCGUCAUCUAUCUCCACUCGCUUCUACUUCUUCCUUUCACUCGCCAUGGAGAAAGGGAAUCAUGGUCCCUCAACGGUGGCGGCGAGGGUCGCCGCCCGACAGCACGUCCCUCCUCCUCCUGAGCCCGCGGUGGUGGAACCGGCCGCGUGGGGAAGGGGGAGGGGGCGAGGUCGUCGGCGAGGCCGGGGCAGAGGUCGUAGUGCUCGGGGAAGAGGAGGACGGGGCGGCGCACCGGCUUCACCCCCGCCAAUGAUGCCUUUUCCAAUGGAAGGCCAUGUUGGAGACCAGCCCCGUGAAUUUUUCAUCAGGCUGCGCUGGCCUUCGCGUCGCCGUCUUCGUCUUCCCGCCCCGUUCGCUCGGGAGAUGGAGUGUGACCCGCCCCAGUCCCUCAGAUUGCACAUGAGGGGUUGUGGGAAUGGGGGCACGCGGGUCGACGUCGACUUCCCGGCUCCCCGGGUCAUGUACCUCCGUCAUGGGUGGAAGACGUUCGCUCGCAUCCACAGCCUAACGGCGGGGCUCGUCCUCUACUUCAAAUUAAUGGAGGACGACCUGCUCUCCGUCAAGGUCUUCGGCGACUUCGGGACUCGCCUGAAGUGCUGCGUGGAGAGCUCCUCCGAUGGAGAUUCCGACGAUGGAAGCUCUACCUCGAGCGAAAGUGAUGAGGAGGACAACGGGGCAGACGGCGGGGACGAGUCCGACUAGGCGUCGGACGCCUGGUGCCUGGGCGGGUGCGGCAGCAGCAACAUCUGCACUUGGCCGCUCCUCCGGCAGAGUUUUGCCGGGGGUGGGGCCAGCUCCUUGAACUUCUCGGGGCCGUCUCCUUGGGCGGCUGGCGUCGAGAGGCUGCGGAAGAGGAAGAGGGCGGGCGGCAACGCCGUUAACUCGGAGUACGCGGGCACCGACGCCUUCGUGGCGUACUGCCGGUCCUGCCGCCUCGUCUUCCAGCUCCUUUCCCGGCACCGUCAUCACCGGCCCGCCCCUGGGCGGUCACCAAGGUGUUCUCUUGGUGCUUUCUGCCGCUCGUAGCUCGCCUAGGCGCCCCUUUUGCCCUUUCGCCUCAUUGACCUGCCUCCUGAGGAGAGGGACAAGAAAGGGAUUACGGGCAUCUUAUCCUUCUUCUUUAGUUUGUAAGCCUGCGGGCCUUUGUUAAAUUUAGAACUUGUAAUCCCCUUGCUCAUGUUUUUCAUUUCGUACGAACUGUACCUGUAUGGGAUGUUUUUAAUGAAAAAGGGAUGCUUGCCGGGUUUUUCGUUCGUGGGUAAACCCCGCGACAAGGAGCGAAUCCUUGUUAUUGUUUAAGAUAAACGUUUUUCGCCCGGCAACAGGCCUUGCCGCCCCCCACUCCACUCGACCGUUCUCGCGCUCUUGGCGGAGGCAGGGAUGAAGUGGGCUUUAGGCUCCUCGUUCUACCUCCUUGCCGCCGCGGCUACAACCAAAUCCGGACCUAGGAAAUAAUCCUUAGGUAUAGGAAAAAGGGGAGCACGACAGCCUAGAGAUAAAAACGAGGUUUCACAUGCCCCAGUCCUGUUCUGAAAUGCAUGACAGAGGAUAAAAGACUUAUCUGGAUCUGCAGCCCCCAGCAAUCUCAUCUUGCCGCGGUUGGAACCUUGUGCUUGCAGCCCCCGGCAACUCUGGUUUACCGGGGUCGGGACGCCGGUCCGUUUUCUUUCUUCCAAGUAGCUCGACAGAAGUGCUCAUGUGCCCUGCGAACCAAAGGAGGACGGAAGAGAAACAGAUAGACGCGCAUUCGACCUCUAAGCUAGGGGUUAGUCGCUGCUGAGCACUAUCAACCCUAACCAAGGAAGAGACUCGACCUAGCAUGCAUGCUAUGACUGAGGGCGCCAGCGCUUCAUUUAUUUAUGCUCAGGGUCUGUGCCUGGCUUUGUACGAAGGGUUACAUGCCUUGCCGGCAAAGCUUGUACAAAAGGUGGCUUGCCGGGAGGCCCAGCAAGCCGCGCCUUAUGGGUAAAACUUGCGAAGAUGCUCGAUGUUCCAGGAGUUCCUCACUGGGAUGGCAUCUUCGGUCUCCAGGUGGACUGCGCCGGGCCUGGUGACUCGUAUUACCCGAUAAGGGCCUUCCCACUUCGGCGUCAACUUGUUGGCAUUCUCGGCCGACUGAACGCGCCGAAAAACAAGGUCGCCUUCCUCAAAGCUUCGGGCAUGAACCUUGCGGCUAUGGUAGCAGCGCAAGGCUUGCUGGUAGCGCGCUGCUCUCACAGCCGCCCGAAGACGAUCUUCCUCAAGGAGCGUCGCAUCAUCUUGGCGCAACUGCUCUUGCUCAAGCUCAUCAUAAGCGAGCACUCGAGGUGACCCGUAUAUGAGUUCCGUGGGGAGAACUACUUCUGCCCCGUAGACCAGGGCAAAAGUUGUCUGGCUGGUGGCUCGAUUUGGCGUCGUCCUGAUCGACCAAAUAACCGCCGGCAAUUCAUCAAUCCAGCGCCUUCCGCUCUUGCGCAGCUUGUCAAAAGUCUUUGUCCUUAGGCCUCGCAACACUUCAGCAUUCGCCCUCUCCGCUUGGCCGUUGCUCCGUGGGUGUGCCACGGAAGCAAAACAGACCUUGCUGCCGAGGUCUUGAAUGUAUUGCAUGAAGGUGUGGCUCGUGAACUGCGUGCCGUUGUCGGUGAUGACUCUAUUUGGCACACCAAAACGGCAGACCAGUCCUUUAAAAACUUGACAGCUGACUGAGCAGUCACCUUUCUCACUGCUUCCACCUCCGGCCACUUUGUGAACUUGUCGAUUGUAACGUACAAGUAUUCAAAGCCCCCGACAGCGCGGGGGAAAGGGCCCAGUAUGUCGAGCCCCCAGACCGAGAAUGGCCAGGAGAGAGGGAUUGUUUGAAGGGCUUGGGCUGGUUGAUGAAGCUUCUUUGAAUGAAACUGACACGCUUCUGUAACGCCCCGGAUCCGAUGCGCCAGGUGUCACACAGUUAUUCGCUGUCGUUGCCAUGUCAUUUGCUUGCGUGUUGCAUUUUGCCAUGUCAUCAUAUGCAUUUCAUAUCAUGUCAUCAUGUGCUUCGCAUUUGCAUACGUGUUCGUCUCAUGCAUCCGAGCAUUUUCCCCGUUGUCCGUUUUGCAAUCCGGCACUCCUAUGUCACCCGGCGCCCCCUUUUGUCUUCUUCUCGUGUGCGGAUGUUAAACAUUUUCGGAAUGGACCGAGUCUUUUCAAGUGGCCUUGGUAUACCACCGGUAGACCACCGGUCAAGUUUCGUUCCAUUUGGAGGUCGUUUGGUACUCCAACGGUUAACCGGGUAACCGCAAAGUCCGUUUUGGUAUUGCAGCAAACCCCCCUUUCAAACAGCCACAAAACCCCUCUAAGUCCCUGUCAUGCUCUCGGUCGUUCGAUCACGAUCGCGUGGGCGAAAACCGCACCCCGUUUGGACUCUCCUAACUCCCUCUACCUAUAUAAACACCCCCUCCCCGAAAUUUCGGAUCAAUUCCACCCUAACCCUAAUAUUUUUCCCUCCGCGCCGCCGGACGUUUCGUCCUCCGCAGCCGGACAUGUCCAUUUCGCCGCCGCCGCCGCCCGCGGCCAAUCGGCACGCGCCACCUGUCCNNNNNNNNNNNNNNNNNNNNNNNNNNNNNNNNNNNNNNNNNNNNNNNNNNNNNNNNNNNNNNNNNNNNNNNNNNNNNNNNNNNNNNNNNNNNNNNNNNNNNNNNNNNNNNNNNNNNNNNNNNNNNNNNNNNNNNNNNNNNNNNNNNNNNNNNNNNNNNNNNNNNNNNNNNNNNNNNNNNNNNNNNNNNNNNNNNNNNNNNNNNNNNNNNNNNNNNNNNNNNNNNNNNNNNNNNNNNNNNNNNNNNNNNNNNNNNNNNNNNNNNNNNNNNNNNNNNNNNNNNNNNNNNNNNNNNNNNNNNNNNNNNNNNNNNNNNNNNNNNNNNNNNNNNNNNNNNNNNNNNNNNNNNNNNNNNNNNNNNNNNNNNNNNNNNNNNNNNNNNNNNNNNNNNNNNNNNNNNNNNNNNNNNNNNNNNNNNNNNNNNNNNNNNNNNNNNNNNNNNNNNNNNNNNNNNNNNNNNNNNNNNNNNNNNNNNNNNNNNNNNNNNNNNNNNNNNNNNNNNNNNNNNNNNNNNNNNNNNNNNNNNCGACCCCGCCGCCGGCGCCCGCGCUGCCGCCGGCCAUCGCCCCGCCGUCGCCUGGCCUGGCCUCCCCUCCACUCCGGCCGCCGCCGAUCGACUCCGGCGAGCCGGCGCCCGAUCCAGAACGAGCCCGCGUUGACUUCGUUCCCCCCCUCGAGGUCGUUAUUUUUCUAAGUCCCCAGUUCUUAUUAAUAUGUGCACAUGUUCAACUGUGUGUAACUUCAUGCAUGUAGCUCCGAUUCGCGCGUAUAAUAUGUCGAAUUGUUCGUCCCGUGAUGCUCUACAUUUUGUUCAAUUGCACCAUGUUCAUUAGAGGUCAUCUUGAUGCCUUAAUCAUCGUUGCAAGAGGGCUAGUUGCUGUUAUCUGCUGAUUCUUAUCAGAACUUGGAGAUUUGUCAUUUUUGUAUCAUUUAAUCUGUGCAUCUUUUGGGCAUGACCUCUACAUGUGUUUUGAAGUAUGCCAUGCCAUCUUUCCAGUGGUGUAGUCCAUGUAUUUGUGUGAUCUCUGUGGUGACUAGCACAAGCACGCAAAGUAGGCCCCGUAAUAUUUCUGAUUUCAGGGACUUAGUGAUUUCUCUAAGUCCUUGUCUGCUGUAAUUUUGUUGCCUUGUUAACUUGAUGCUACAGAGAGAUCCAUGCAUAUUUUGGAGAUGUUCAGUAAGGAUGUUUUGUAGAUAUUGUUAUAAUUGAUCCAUUACUGCCCUUGUUUGCAAUUAUGGUGUGCCAUAGCAUGUCUCAAUCUUGCUCUACUUUUGCUAUAAAAUAUUUCUGGCAGAUUCUUAACAUGAUAUGCAAUCUUGCCAAGCUUAUUGUAAUUGAUCCAUACAUGCUAUGAUUAUACUCUUGCCAUGGUUAGCUUCAUAAACAUGCCAUCUUGCUGUAGAUAUACUUAGGUUAUCAUUCAUUGCUCUGUAGUGAGUGCAUCAAGCUCACAAAGAGGCCUACAUAUUAUAGUUUCUGCCAUGCUCUGUUUUUUGCCAAGUCUGAAACCAGAUAACGAAACUUGCUAUGUUCACAUGCUUGCCAUCAUAUCUUCUGGUCCUUUUUCGCUUAUGGUCAGUAAGGGACUUUUGUUAUAUGCUUUGAGUAGAUUCAUGCCAUGCCUUUCUUUGCUAUGUUAAGUCCCUGUAGCAUGUUGAUUUCGUGCUCUGAACAUUGCUACCUGAUGCUGUUUCUGUCAUGUCCAGUAAUUCUGCCAAGUCUGUGAACCUGUUAUUAUUUGCAAUCUUGCCAUGUCCUUUUGAGCAUUUUCUAUUGAUUUCUGGAGAUAGCUCAGUGUUCAUGUUUUGUUGUGCUUUACCUGUACAUCAUGUCCUUGUCUUUUGUUUUCAUGUUGAGUUGCUGUAGCAUAUUGUUUUGAUGCUUGCCAUAUGCCUAGUUGCUGUUUUGGACAGAUUGUUGCUAUGUCUUGUUUGGAGUGUAUGUGUUGCACCGUUGCUCCGUUUUGAGCAUGCUCUAUAUGAAACUUGCUUAGUUUUGCAUGUAGUCUCAUAUUAUCAUGUUGCAUCCUUGUGUUGAGGUGUGUGCUUGAUGUUUGUAUGCAUUUUGCACCAAUGCCAUGCUCAUCUUGUCUUGCUCAUAUCUUCUAGGCCGUAGCUCCGAAUCUAAUGAACUUUAUAUGUAACUUGACUAGAAUUUCGUGUAGAUCAUCAUGGUGCUCUUUAACUUGCUGUUUAACAACUUUAACUUAAUGCUUGUUCAGUUCUGGACCAAUUUUGAAAUUUGCAUAUGAGGACUUACCGGAAUUGUUAUGUGUUGUUUCCGGCCUCAUUUAAACUUGCCUUGAUGUGUUGCUCUUGUAUGCAUCCUUUCUUGCCGUGUGUAGCCUCAUAUUGCCUUGUCAUGCAUCAUUCUUGAUUGAGCAUCAUGCCUUGUUCAUGUGUGGUGUGUUUACCUUGUUGUGUGUUUCUUCUCGAUAGCUCCUGUGUCGUUGCGAUCGUGAGGAUUCGUUCGUCUUCGUGGCUUCAUCUUCUUCAUGGAUUCGUUCUUCUUCCUAGCGGGAUUUCAGGCAAGAUGACCGUCACCUUGGAUCUCAUUACUAUCAUUGCUAUGCUAGUUGCUUCGCUCUAUCGCUUUGUUGCGCUACCUAUUCACUUGUUCCUCAAGCCUCCCAUUUUGCCAUGAACCUCUAACCUUUGUCACCCUUCCUAGCAAACCAUUGUUUGGCUAUGUUACCGCUUUGCUCAGCCCCUCUUAUAGCGUUGCUAGCUGCAGGUGAAGAUGAAGAUUGCUCCAUGUUGGAUUAUGUUUAUGUUGGGAUAUCACAAUAUCUCUUAUAUUAUUAAUGCAUCUAUAUAUUUGGUAAAGGGUGGAAGGCUCGGCCUUAUGCCUGGUGUUUUGUUCCACUCUUGCUGCCCUAGUUUCCGUCAUACCGGUGUUAUGUUCCCGGAUUUUGCGUUCCUUACACGGUUGGGUGAUUUAUGGGACCCCCUUGACAGUUCGCCUUGAAUAAAACUCUUCCAGCAAGGCCCAACCUUGGUUUUACCAUUUGUCCAGCCUAUUUCUUUUCCCUAGGGAGUCGCUCUCUCGAGGGUCAUCUUAUUUUAACCCCCCCGGGCCAGUGCUUCUCUAAGUGUUGGUCGAACUGAGUAGACUGCGGGGCCACCUCGUGGAAACUCGAGGUCUGGUUUUACUCGUAGGAUGUCUCAUCCGAUGUUGCCCUGAGAACGAGAUAUGUGCAGCUCCUAUCGGGAUGUCGGCGCAUCGGGCGGCUUUGCUGGUUUUGUUUUACCAUUGUUGAAAUGUCUUGUAACCGGGAUUCCGAGACUGAUCGGGUCUUCCCGGGAGAAGGAAUAUCCUUCGUUGACCGUGAGAGCUUAUCAUGGGCUAAGUUGGGACACCCCUGCAGGGUAUUAUCUUUCGAAAGCCGUGCCCGCGGUUAUGUGGCAGAUGGGAAUUUGAUAAUAUCCGGUUGUAGAGAACCUGACACUUGACCUUAAUUAAAACGCAUCAACCGCGUGUGUAGCCGUGAUGGUCUCUUCUCGGCGGAGUCCGGGAAGUGAACACGGUUUCUGGGUUAUGUUUGACGUAAGUAGGAGUUCAGGAUCACCUCUUGAUCAUUGCUAGUUUCACGACCGUUCCUUUGCUUUCUCUUCUCGCUCUUAUUUGCGUAAGAUAGCCACCAUACAUUGCUUAGUCGCUGCUGCAACCUCACCACCUUAUCCUUUCCUUUCCCUUUAAGCUUUGCUAGUCUUGAUACCCAUAAUAAUGGGAUUGCUGAGUCCUCGUGGCUCACAGUUUACUACACCACCAGUUGCAGGUACAGGUUGUGCGAUGAUCAUGACGCGAGAGCGAUGUGUACUUGUUUUGGAGUUCUUCUUCUGCUUCUUCUUCGCUCAGGGGAUAGGUUCCAGGUCGGCAGCCUGGGCUAGCAGGGUGGAUGUCGUUUGAGUCUCUGUUUAUGUUUCAUCCGUAGUCGGAUGUUGAGCUUAUGUAUGAUGUAUUGAUGUAUCCUUGCGGCAUUUGUAUGCCUUGUAUGUAUCCCCAUAUAUUUUGUAAUGUCGAUGUAAUGAUAUCCACCUUGCAAAAGCGUUUCAAUAUGCGGGUCUAUCCUUGGUGGGACCUUCGAGUUCCUGUAGGAUAGGGUCGCAUAUUGGGCGUGACAGCUUCACACUUGGUUACUAGUGCCGUCGCAUCCUGGAGGGCGGUGGGCCAGAAAAAACCUUGUCGGAACGCCUUCCCGGCAAGGGCCCUUGACCCUAUGUGGGAGCCACAUAUGCCUCCAUGUAUCUCCGCCAACAGCUCCAGUCCUUCUAACUGGGGGAUGCACUUCAAUUUCAUGCCAUUCGGCCUUCUCCUGUACAGGACAUCAUCGACGAACUGGUACAGGGCGGACCGACGGGCUACUUUCUCCGCUUCUUCCUGCUCCUCAGGAAGCUCCCCUGUUUGGAGGAAUCGAACGGUAUGCUGCGCCCAUGCCGGAGCCCGGGCUCGACGACAAGGACCAAAGGCAUUUCUUCCGCCAUGGGAGCGGCUGUCUCUACGGCUAGGGCUUGACGCCCUGCCGGAGGUAGCUACUCUUGGGCAGGCUCGGCGUCCGUGGCGGCACCCUUGCCGGCAGCCCCAGAGGGUUCGGUAGGAAAGUACUUGCCGGGACCCGACUUCCUUCGCUUGUUCUGCCCCGUUGAUGGUUUGACGGAUGGUUGAGUUAGCUGGAGCAAAAAGGUACCUGGUUCCACAGGUAGCUUGAAUGCGGCACACUUUGACAGGUAAUCGGCGGUGUCGUUCUCCAUUCGGGGGACGUGCUCCGCUAGGAUACCGUCAAAGCGCUCCUCCAGCUUCCUCACUUCAUCUACGUAGGCUUCCAUCAAUGGGCUUUGGUAAUCCUUAUUGACCUGCCUGACAACAAGCUGCGAGUCACCCCUGACGAUGAGCUUCUUAACCCCGAGGUCUGCCGCGAUCCUGAGACCGGCAAGCAAUCCCUCGUACUCAGCAGUGUUGUUGGUGGACAUCUCUCGGGGAAAGUGCAUCUGGAUCACGUACUUGAGGUGCUCCCCGGUAGGUGCGACGAGUAGCACACCGGCAUCGGCGCCUUGCAGCGAGAAAGCCCCAUCAAAGUACAUGAUCCAGUCGCGAUCUUCCUCCUUGCCGGGGAGUGUGGUCUCCUGGAUUUCUUCGUCAGGUGUUGAGGUCCAUUCUGCAAUGAACUCCGCCAAGACUCUGCUCUGAAUUGUCGAGGUACUUUCAAACUUCAAACCGAAACUUGACAACUCUAAGGCCCACUCCACAAUCCUCCCGGUUGCAUCCGGGUUAUGCAGUAUCCGUUGCAAAGGGAGGCGGGUGACGACAGUGAUCUCGUGGGCUUGGAAGUAAUGACGCAGCUUCCUCGAGGCCAUAAGAAGGCCGAAGAGCAAUUUCUGCACACCGGAGUACCUCGAUCUAGCCCCCUGCAAGAGGGAGCUGACAAAGUAAACCGGGUGCUGCAUCAUCUUCUUCUUCUGCACCACCCCACUUGACUGCGCGGGCACUGCCUCGGUGGCAUCAGACUCUGCCGGGGGCCUCGCCUUGCCGGCACCAGGCCCUGCCGGGGGAAUCUUGGGCUUGCCAUCCGCUGGUUCUGCCGCCGUCACUGCCUCCUCGUUGACCUCCCUCUGUGCCACUAGCGCGGUGCUGACCACUUGAUUUGUCGCCGCCAGAUACAGCAGCAACGGCUCUUGUGGUUUAGGCGCAACCAGUAUUGGCGUGGAGGAAAGGUAUUUCUUCAGAUCCUGCAAUGCUUCCUCGGCUUCUGGGGUCCAUUCCAUUGGGCCUGCCUUCUUCAAGAUUUUGAAGAAAGGAAGGGCGCGCUCGGCGGACUUGGAGAUGAAUCGGCUCAUGGCGGCAACGUAGCCGGUGAGCCGACGCACAUCCUUGAUCCGCUUGGGCGCCUCAAUCUGCUCAAUAGCCUUGAUUUUGUCUGGGUUUGCCUCGAUUCCGCGCUGCGAUACAAAGAACCCGAGAAGCUUGCCGGAUGGAACGCUGAAGACACACUUCUCAGGGUUCAGCUUGAGGUUGAUCUUGCGCAGGUUGGCAAAUGUCUCUUCCAGAUCUUCCACAAGAGUUGGCCCGUCCUUGGUUUUGACUACUAUGUCAUCCAUGUAGGCCUCCAUAUUUCUAUGGAGCUGAGGUUCAAAACCAAUUUGGACUGCUCUUGCAAAUGUUGAGCCAGCGCUCUUCAACCGAAAGGCAUCCGUAAAAAGCAAUACGUACCACAUGGGGUGAUGAACGCUGUCUUUUCUUCAUCCUCUCUUGUCAUGAAGAUAUGGUGGUAGCCCGAGUAGGCGUCGAGGAAUGACAACAGAUCACACCCGGCCGUGGAGUCAACAAUCUGGUCGAUGCGCGGCAACGGGAAGGGGUCCUUAGGACAAGCCUUAUUGAUAUCUGUGUAAUCAAUACACAACCUCCACUUCCCAUUCGCCUUGCGCACCACUACCGGAUUGGCCAACCACAUCGGGUGGAGCACUCCCCUCACCAAACCUGCCGCUUCCAACUUCCUGAUCUCCUCCGUGAUGAACUCCUGCCUCUCCAGAGCCUGCUUUCUGACCUUCUGCUGGAUGGGCCGCGCAUGGGGGCUGACAACUAGGUGGUGCUCAAUCACCUCCCUGGGAACAACGGGGAUGUCGGAUGCUUUCCAUGCAAACACGUCGACAUUCGACCGCAGGAAGGUGACGAGCGCGCCUUCCUAUUUGCUACCGAGGGUGGAGCCUAUGGUGAAGGCCCCUCCCGUGCCAUCCUCCCUGGUGGACACCUUCUUGGUUUGCGGCGGCUCGGCUCUAGAUCUCUUGCUCUUGUCGGUAGAGCUCUCUGGCACGGCCUCGACGGCAGCACAACACUCCGAAGAGGUGCGCUUGCCGGAGUGGGUGCGAGAGGUCUUGCCGGGCUUCUUCCUCCCUCCCGGGGCUUCAGCGGCAGGAGCAGGUGCCUUGGCGGCAGCUGCUGCAACUGCCUCCCGGUAGAGUUGGUCGGCGCAAAUCAGCGCGUCCUUCUUGUCGGAGGGGACGGAGAUGAUGGUCAACGGCCCGAGCAUCUUUAGCAUGUUGUAGGCGUAGUGUGACGCCGCCAUAAACUUGGCUAGUGCCGGGCGGCCGAGGAUCCCGCUGUAGGGCAAGGGGAUCUCGGCCACGUCGAAGACGAUCCUCUCCGUCCUGUAGUUCAACUCUCCUCCAAAUGUCACGGGCAGUGUGACCUUUCCCUUCGGCUGGCUCCUCCCCGGAUUGACCCCUUGAAACGUGCCCGUUUCCUCGAGGUCUCCAUCAGGGAUUUGCAACCUUUUGAUCACGACAGGCGAGAUCAGGUUUAGGCCGGCCCCGCCGUCAACCAACAUCUUGUUCACCCUGAAGUUGCGUAUUGUUGGUGAGACCAACAAUGGCAAACACCCGACCGCGGUAGUGCGGUCAGGGUGGUCUUCGGCGUCAAAGAUGAGGGGCGUGCUGGACCACUUCAGCGGCUUCUGAGCGUCGAACGACGGCUCUUCUGCUGUAAUCUCACGCGCCCACUGCUUGAGCUAGCGGUGAGAGGUAUGCAGCGAGGCGCCGCCAUCGACGCACAUGGCCUCCGUAGCCUUCUGGAACCCUUGCUCACCAGACUCGUCGUCCUUGUCGUGAUCAUCGUCUUCUUGUUUCUUGUCGCGGCCCCGGGCGGGCCUCUCUUGCUGGUUGUCCUUGCCGGGGUAGCCUCCUUGGCCGCCACGCUUCUUGCCGGAUCCCUCAGCACCGUCCUGGUCCUUCUCCUUGUCCCGCCUCUCGUACUCAGCCUUUUGCUUCUUAGGAAGCAGCUCGACUUGUCGGCAGUUCUGGAGGUCGUGGCCCUUGGUGCGGUGGAUCUUGCAGUAUUGCUUGCCGGAGCUCCCUGGCUUGUCGGUAGCUGCCAAGGCCCGGCAGGCGGCGCACCAGGCAAUCUCCUUGUCGGGAGCGCCUGCCUUGACCUUCUUGCCGGCACCGGUGUCGCCAGAUCCCUCAACGGCAAGCACGGCCUUACCCUUGCGUUUCCUGUUGUGACGCCGGCCCUUCUUCGUCGGGGUAGCGGCGUCCUCAUCGGUAGAGUCGGUUUCCGCGCCGGCGUCUUCGCCGGGGUACUUCCUUCCCUCUUCAGCCCGGGCGCAUCUAUCGGCCAGAACGUAGAGCUCGGCCACAUCCUUAAUCUUGGUCAUCGCCAGCUCCUCGCGCAUCUUGCGAUUGCGCACGUUCUGGUGGAAUGCGCUAAUCACAGCGGCAGGAUGAACGUCGGGGAUGUUGUACUGCACCCGGCUGAAUCUCUGGAUGUACUUGCGCAGGGUCUCCCCUUCCUUCUGGGGAAUGAUAUGCAGAUCACUGGCCUGGCCAUGAGCUUGGUGGCCUCCUGUGAAGGCGCCAACGAACUCAUGGCAUAGAUCCGACCAAGAAGAAAUGGAAUCCACCGGCAAGUGCAUCAACCAAGACAUCACAUUGGGCUUGAGCGCCAGCGGGAAAUAGUUGGCAAGCACCUUGUCGUUGCGAGCCCCAGCCUGCAUCGCGAUGGUGUAGAUGCUGAGGAACUCAGACGGAUGGGUCUUGCCAGUGUACUUCUCGCCGACGUCGGGCUUGAACGUGCGGUGGGACGACCACUGGAACUGCUGCAGCUCACGGGUAAAGGCCGGGCAGCCCACCUCGUAAGGUAGGCCGCCGGAGCCCCCCGGUGCCGGGUGGUCCAUAGCGGGUCCCGCCCGCUUGUCCGACUGGCGGCGCGUUUCGCGCCGGCGCUCGACGGUGGUUCGAGCGUCUUUGUGAGCUCGUUCCCGAAGGACCUGGCGCUGGUCGCGGAGGGUCCGCGGGUCGGAUGACACUAUGGAGAUGUUAUCACAAGCGUCGUCACGACGGGCUGAUGCCCGCGGCGGCUGGCGAGGAGGAGGAGAGUGCACCGUGGGCGCAACUCCCCCGGUCCUCCCAGCGCCAGCAUGCGGUGGCUCGGUGGAGCGCCGACCCGAGGGUCCCGCCGGUCGUGGAUUGUCUUUAUUGGCGACGGCGAUGAGGCUUCGGGUGGUGGCCCUCCACUCGUCAAGCUUCUCCGCAGCAGGAGGGAAGUCGAGGAGUAGCUGUGCGCGCGCCAAAGCUUCUGCCGGCGUGGGCGGCGGCGACAGCUACGUGGAUCGCGGCGCGCUUCGACUUCUAACUACGUUAGAAGGAGCUCCGUUACAACCCAGCGGCUACGUGCCAUUUUCGCCAGCGCUUCGGCGGGCGUGCUGAACCCCUUCAUCCUGCGGACGACGCACUGGGCUCUUCCCACGGUGGUGCCCAGGGUCACCAACGCGGUGACGCUGCUCGACACGCACACCAUGGAAGAGCGCACAGUGGUCGCCGGUGUGGGCGUCCUGGAGGUCGCUGCGCCGCCCGGAGGUGGCACAACGACACCCCUGGAGGGCCCGCGCCGCCUACGGGGGGCCCAGCUCCGUCUUUGGAUCCGGCGACGUGUAGCCGGUCGUCUGGUGCGCGAACGACGUCGCUCGCCAGGCUCUGACUACCAGGGCGUUGCUGGUGCUCGCGGACCGCGACCCGGGUCCUGUCUGUGACCGGUCCACUGCCCGCCCGCACCGGCACGGGCCGUUCGGCUCCCAACGAGCCGACCGCCGUGGCUGUCUUCUUCUUAGGAGCCAUGGCGACGAAGAACUACUAGGCUAACUACUAGACCAGAUUCUCACAAUUGCGCCCCCUACCUGGCGCGCCAAAGAUGUCGGUGUGGAACGACACCUACGGGAUCACAAGAAUCCCUACUACGGUUGCCGGGGUGCGGGGUUGCAAGAAGAGCAGGGCUAGUAGACAACACAAAGAUCGUUUACCCAGGUUCGGGCCGCGAGGAUGGGUAAAACCCUAGUCCUGCUUUGGUGGGUGUAUUUUCAGAGAGUUCUUGAGCUCUCGAACAAGCUGUGGUCAGUGCGUGGUUCAAAAGAGCCGAAUCCUUCUCCAGUAUGCCAUGGGCCUCCUUUUAUAGUCGAAAGGGGUUGCCACAGUGGCACACAGGAGGUGGAAAGGCGUACAGUGCCCUGAGCUUAUCGCUCGUAUUACAGGACAAGAUGCAUUUAAUGCGUAGCUUAGGUGUCCCCUUGCUUUAUUGGGGAUGGGGGCGAGGCCCGUCCCGUCCGUCGCCGCUCCUCCUCGCUUUGACACGCGCCCUGGCCAGUGAGGCGCGUGGUGCCAUGUAAGCAGGCAGGCAGGCAGCAGAGGUGGCGCAGUGGCGGAGCCUUCACGAAGAUAUGCAUGCCGCCACGUAGGCGCUUGAUGAGUUGGCCUAGGAGCUGCAUGUUGCCACGCAGGUGCCCGCCCAGCUGGUUGGGCUGGCAGCUGCAUGUGAACAGCGGUGGAAGCUUGGUUGGCGUGGGCCUAGCGGUGGCCCUGCUGGCGUCCGUGGUGAGGGCCUUGCCGGGUGGCCCGGCAAGGGUCUUGCUGUGGCGCGCUGUCAUCCCCGGCGAGGGCCUUGCCGGGGGUCUGGUGACCUUCCUCGGCAGGGAUCUUGCCGAGGAUCGUCGUCUUCUAAUCCUCAUCUGAUUUUGAAUAUGUCUUCACAAAGAUCUGCAUGCCACCACGGAGGUGCCUCCCGAGCCCUGGCCCAACGUGAUGUUGGAGACCAUGGGCUCAAGGGUGGCCCGCUCUGUUGGUGCGAGGCGAGCUGUCCCGGCAAGGAUCUUGCCGGGGCUGCUGAGGCUGCCCCAGCAAGGGUCUUGCCGGGGAACAUGCUUCGUCCCUCUGCUUUUUGUGGUCUUGGCCUUGGCGUUGCUCUUAUUAUCUUGGACUUUGGUCUUACCUUGGCUCACCUCCCCUGUUCUGCUUGGCGUGACCGUAGGCGCGUCUCCGACUGCCCGUGCACAUGUAUAGGGGUACAAAAACGCACCCUUUUUUUUGUACACCGACAUAUAUCUAUCCAUUCUUGCUACGACUUGUUGAAUAUUCGAAUGAUAAUCAUAAAAGAGAAUGUUGACUAGUGAAUUGUUUAUUUUGCAGAAAAGUGCGCAAAGGCACUAUAAUCGUCAAGAUUUCUACUAUGUGGCUAACGAGAAGAGACAAGGGUAUGAAAGAAAUACGUCAAGGCCUGAGCGUGAAGGAAAGAAGUAAUGUAGGGGAGCAAACUAAAAGAAGAGGAGGAUCUUCUUGGGCAUAAAUGAAGAGAAGAGGAGGGCCAAUGUGCAAAUGUGGCAGAUCAGAGAGGGGAAUGAAAUCCCUAGCGGCACCUCAUUGCAAAUCGGGCCUGGCCACAUCUCCAUCUCUCUCCCCCUCACCACUUCUUCCACCACCGGCCGCCGCCGCGGCCAGGCCGGCGUGGCGGCGCGCCACCAACACCACCGCGCCAUAGCACCACCCAUAAUCUCCAUCCAUCUGCGCCUCCCGGCCACCCAUCAUUCCCUCCAUCCACAGCGCCGCCAGAACCCAUCCAUCAUCACCUCCAGCCGGCGCCGCCGCCUCGCCUACAGCCAUCUCCCUGCUGUCCGCUGCUCUCCUCUUCUUUCCAACCUUCUUCUCCUCACCAUGCUGCUGCUCCUCCCUCUCAAUCUCUACUGCUGCUCUUCCUUGCCCCCCCACCCCCCCGUGCUGCUGCCUCUCCUUCCCUUCGUUGCUUGCUGCUUCUCCUUUGAUCCCUUUGCUACUGCUCCUCUUCUUCGUGCCCAACCUCCGCUGCUGCUCCUCUUUCCUGCUGCUACUCCCUCUCACCACGCCUCUGCUGCUCUCUUUCCCCUCCUGCUGCUGCUCUCCUCACCAUGCUGCUUCUCCUCUUGCUGCUGCUGCCCGCCCCCGACCUCCUCCUGCUAUCUCUCUCUACUUCCCCUGCUACCUUUCUUCUCUGAACCUACCUACUGCUUCUCUCUCUCUCUGAAAUUGCUGUAGUACUAAGAUUUGUAAGACAGUGUACUACAACCUGUUAAUUGUUCAGUUCAGAUUUUUGCUUGUUUAGUAUUAUUCUGUUGAUCUGUGCUAAUCUUGUGGCUAGUAUAAUUUCGUUUCUGUUGUUACUUGUGUAACCUGAACCGUGGUUAGUAUCCUAUUUGCAUAUGUGUGUUUUGUAGUCCCUGUAUUAGUUACGUACCUGUGAUAUAUAAAUGUGUGUGUGCGUGUGUGUGUGUAAUUCAUCAAAAUAUAUUGUUGUGUGAUGAUGAUAUAUGUUCAGUCUAGAGACACGUUAUUUUUCUUGCUUUGUAGAUCGAUGUGAACUAGUACCCUUGUGUGUUUCUGUUGUCACUAGUUAAAUUGAUCACCUAUGUACUACUUGUUGUAGAAACUUGUUACAUUAGUCCUUGUGCUAGCUAUGCACCUGUGAUAAAUAUGUGUGUGAUGUGAAACAUUUCUGUUCUGUCCUAUAAUAUUGUUUCCUCCCUCUUUUGCUUGUCAUUAUGCUAUAUGUGUUCAUGUCCUAAUGUUUCCCUUUAUGUUAGUUUCUAAUUUCUCAUGCCUAAUAAAAAUACCAAAAGACAGCAAGUAAGAUCUGAUCCUCCCUUUGCUAUUUUGCCUUUUCUUUGUGGAUCAUCUUUGGGAGCAACCUUGUUUAGUUUAGGUUUAUUUUCUUGCAGCCAUAAUCUCAAUUGUGUUACCUAGAUUUAGCUGAGCAUAGUCGCCGUCGCCUAGUCCCUGCGGGGAACACGACACUCGCGAUUUGGGCGAAAUAUCCCACCACAUUUACAAACGAUCAGCGAGGCUCAUCGUCGUCCUUGCUAGGCGGCCCUUUCCCCUUGUGCUCGGUGUUUAGCUUACCGACCUGUUUGAAGACCCAACAAUUUUUGCUGGUAUGAUUGGCAGGCUUGUCAGGGGUGCCAUGGAUCUGGCAAGGCCGAUCGAGUAUUCUGUCCAAACUGGAUGAACCAUCUUUGUUUCCUUUGAAUGGCUUCUUUCGUUGACCGGGUUUAGAGCCACUGAAUCCAGCGUUGACCGCCGUAUCUUCGGUAUCUUCAUU
rnacentral:lncRNA from 1 species